rnacentral:tRNA from 2 species
UCCUGAAUAGCUCAGUCGGUUAGAGCAUCUGACUGUUAAUCAGAGGGUCGCUGGUUCGAGCCCAGCUUCGGGAG